GGAAGAGCAGUGUACCUGGAACAGAUGUGAAAGGAAAAGGCAUUAAAGGAUGUGUCUUUUUGGCUACUGCUCUGCUGGAGCUGAAACUUUCCCAAAACUCACAGCUAAGCAGUUCAGUGUGUGUUGCAUGGGACAGCUACAGAAUUCCAAUUACUGCAAUGGAGACAGCAGCAAAAUUUCUCCUGAAGAGUCAAACCAGGCAGUGGCUGCAAUGCUCCCACCCUGCACUUGAACAAAAGGCAGCCCCUGGGCACUGCACUCUGUGGAGGAACAGGGCUGGGGGCAGUGCCCAGACUCCUCCUGAGCUCUGCAGCACCACUGGAUGCACGGACCAAUGCAAUCUUAACUUUUGCCACGGGUACCUACCAGUAAAGCAUUAAAUCAAUUAUUAAGCUGGAGAAAGGUGGGUAACACUUUGUGGUGCUCAUGGCUGUGUAGCUGCAACAUUGGGCCUGAGGAGACACAGAAACCCAC
rnacentral:lncRNA from 1 species